CGGGUUGGGGAAUAGCCAGUCGAAAGAUUGGCUAAUACCGCAUAAUGCAGCGGCUCGACAUCGAGACAGUUGUUAAAGCAGCAAUGCGCCUAAGGAGGAGCCUGCGUCUGAUUAGCUUGUUGGUGAGGUAAAAGCUCACCAAGGCUGCGAUCAGUAGCUGGUCUGAGAGGACGGCCAGCCACAAUGGCACUGAAACACGGGCCAU
rnacentral:rRNA from 1 species